UACGUAGGGUGCGAGCGUUGUCCGGAAUUAUUGGGCGUAAAGAGCUUGUAGGCGGUUUGUCGCGUCUGCUGUGAAAAUCCGGGGCUCAACCCCGGACUUGCAGUGGGUACGGGCAGACUAGAGUGUGGUAGGGGAGACUGGAAUUCCUGGUGCAGCGGUGAAAUGCGCAGAUAUCAGGAGGAACACCGAUGGCGAAGGCAGGUCUCUGGGCCACUACUGACGCUCAUGCACGAAAGCGUGGGGAGCAAACAGG
rnacentral:rRNA from 1 species